AUUGAACGCUGGCGGCAGGCCUAACACAUGCAAGUCGAACGAGUGGCGGACGGGAGAGUAAUGUCUGUGAAACUGCCUGAUGGAUGGGGACAACUACUGGAAACGGUAGCUAAUACCGCAUUCCAGCAGCUGUGUCGAGAUGGGAUUAGCUAGUUGGUGGGGUAUCCGCACACCAAGGUGACGCUCCCUAGCUGGUCUGAGAGGAUGACCAGCCACACUGGAACUGAGACACGGUCCAGACUCCUACGGGAGGCAGCAGUGGGGAAUAUUGCACAAUGGGCGCAAGCCUGAUGCAGCCAUGCCGCGUGUAUGAAGAAGGCCUUCGGGUUGUAAAGUACUUUAAGCGGGGAGGCGUUACCCGCAGAAGAAGCACCGGCUAACUCCGUGCCAGCAGCCGCGGUAAUAC
rnacentral:rRNA from 1 species